rnacentral:rRNA from 1 species
AGAGUUUGAUCCUGGCUCAGGACGAACGCUGGCGGCGUGCCUAAUACAUGCAAGUAGAACGCUGAAGAGAGGAGCUUGCUCUUCUUGGAUGAGUUGCGAACGGGUGAGUAACGCGUAGGUAACCUGCCUUGUAGCGGGGGAUAACUAUUGGAAACGAUAGCUAAUACCGCAUAACAAUGGAUGACACAUGUCAUUUAUUUGAAAGGGGCAAUUGUUCCACUACAAGAUGGACCUGCGUUGUAUUAGCUAGUAGGUGAGGUAAUGGCUCACCUAGGCGACGAUACAUAGCCGACCUGAGAGGGUGAUCGGCCACACUGGGACUGAGACACGGCCCAGACUCCUACGGGAGGCAGCAGUAGGGAAUCUUCGGCAAUGGGGGCAACCCUGACCGAGCAACGCCGCGUGAGUGAAGAAGGUUUUCGGAUCGUAAAGCUCUGUUGUAAGUCAAGAACGGGUGUGAGAGUGGAAAGUUCACACUGUGACGGUAGCUUACCAGAAAGGGACGGCUAACUACGUGCCAGCAGCCGCGGUAAUACGUAGGUCCCGAGCGUUGUCCGGAUUUAUUGGGCGUAAAGCGAGCGCAGGCGGUUUGAUAAGUCUGAAGUUAAAGGCUGUGGCUCAACCAUAGUUCGCUUUGGAAACUGUCAAACUUGAGUGCAGAAGGGGAGAGUGGAAUUCCAUGUGUAGCGGUGAAAUGCGUAGAUAUAUGGAGGAACACCGGUGGCGAAAGCGGCUCUCUGGUCUGUAACUGACGCUGAGGCUCGAAAGCGUGGGGAGCGAACAGGAUUAGAUACCCUGGUAGUCCACGCCGUAAACGAUGAGUGCUAGGUGUUGGAUCCUUUCCGGGAUUCAGUGCCGCAGCUAACGCAUUAAGCACUCCGCCUGGGGAGUACGACCGCAAGGUUGAAACUCAAAGGAAU